rnacentral:lncRNA from 1 species
CCCCGCGGCCACCGCCUGCCGCCACCGCCGCCACUGCCGCUGCUGCUCGGGCUGCUGCUGGCGGCCACGGGGCCCGGCGCGGCGCGGGCCAAGGAGACGGCGUUCGUGGAGGUGGUGCUGUUCGAGUCGAGCCCGAGCGGCGACUACACCACCUACACCACCGGCCUCACGGGCCGCUUCUCGCGUGCCGGGGCCACGCUCAGCGCGGAGGGCGAGAUCGUGCAGGUAGCUGCCCGCCGCCCGGGCCCCGCGCCGCCGCCGCCACAAGA